GGGGGUGUACUGGUUUCGACGGGGGCAUCAGAUAUUAGGGUAGCCAUCCGCAGAACUCCGGGGCUGCGUCAACAACCUGGUAAAUAAAUAUAAACGCAGACGAAAAUAAUUUCGCAUUAGCUGCCUAGUGCAGCUUGUCACUUCUUAGUAACCCGCGGCUAAGAUUUGACAUCAAAUAAAGCGGGCCACUUCUCUUACUAAGCUUUGCGUAAGAAGAAGCACUGAUGAAGCUACCAAACCUUAAAGCCUGUCGCUAGGCGUUAGGGCAAGGGAAUCUUAAAAUAGCGACUGUGAUGGGAGACACUCUAAUGGAUGGGUCUUCGGACAGGGGUUCAAUUCCCCUCACCUCCAUAG
rnacentral:tmRNA from 1 species